UACGAGGGGGCGAGCGUUGUUCGGAAUUAUUGGGCGUAAGGGUGCGUAGGCGGUUGGUAAGUCUUGUGUGAAAUCUACGGGCUCAACUUGUAGUCUGCACGAGAACUGCCGGGCUUGAGUAUGGGAGAGGUGAGUGGAAUUCCUGGUGUAGCGGUGGAAUGCGCAGAUAUCAGGAGGAACACCGGUGGCGAAGGCGGGUCUCUGGCCGGUUACUGACGCUGAGGAGCGAAAGCGUGGGGAGCGAACAGG
rnacentral:rRNA from 1 species